rnacentral:tRNA from 1 species
ACUACCGUGGUGUAGUGGUUAACAUCCCUGACUUGCACUUAAGGGGGGCUCAGGUUCGAUGCCUGGCGGCAGUU